AAAAAUUCCAGAAAACUCUGAUUGAAGCCAUUAUACCAAGAUCCCAAGUUCCAUCCCUUCUUUCCCCUUGCUGAACACCCUCGUCUGAGGCUCUCUUAGCUGACGUUCUUAUCUGGCCACCUGGUUCCAUCCGUCAUCAUUUUUAAGGAAAAGAAGUACAUUUUGCAAAGAAUAACAGAUGUCUUGGAAAGGCUUGUUUAGUAUGAAUCCAGUUCUGUUUGGAAAAUUCUAUGUAUAUCACAGCAAUCCCAUCUGUUGUUGACCCCAAAGCUACAUCACAUUCAUUGGUGUAUCUCUUCCCCCAUCAAUGUAGGUUGACUUGUUCCCGCUGUAGAGGGUCCCUCGCAAGGAGCUGAGUGUUUACCUCCAUCACCCACCUCUGUAUCAGCUGCCCAGUUCUUCCCCCACACCCUGUUCUGCCAUCCCAUGACUGGGACACUGGAUACAGCUGUCCAGACUUCAGUCUCUGCCCCAUUCCUCUUAGAGCCCUGUGUUUCCCUGUGCUGCUGACUGCCGAUACACUACUGCUACCUGGCGAUUCACUGUAUGCAGGCUCUGGAGUAUGCUUAUUUAACACCUAUCAGAUUUCUUUUUUCAGACAGAGUUAAAAUUACUUUAUACUUAGUUCAAUAUGCUGGCUUUUAAGGGACAACAUUGUAUUUUUUUUUCUCUUUAAAUAAAGUUCUUUGUAGAGAA
rnacentral:lncRNA from 1 species